GCAGUCGAACGAUGAUCCCAGCUUGCUGGGGGAUUAGUGGCGAACGGGUGAGUAACACGUGAGUAACCUGCCCUUGACUCUGGGAUAAGCCUGGGAAACUGGGUCUAAUACCGGAUAUGACCAUUCCACGCAUGUGGUGGUGGUGGAAAGCUUUUGUGGUUUUGGAUGGACUCGCGGCCUAUCAGCUUGUUGGUGGGGUAAUGGCCUACCAAGGCGACGACGGGUAGCCGGCCUGAGAGGGUGACCGGCCACACUGGGACUGAGACACGGCCCAGACUCCUACGGGAGGCAGCAGUGGGGAAUAUUGCACAAUGGGCGCAAGCCUGAUGCAGCGACGCCGCGUGAGGGAUGACGGCCUUCGGGUUGUAAACCUCUUUCAGUAGGGAAGAAGCGAAAGUGACGGUACCUGCAGAAGAAGCGCCGGCUAACUACGUGCCAGCAGCCGCGGUAAUACGUAGGGCGCAAGCGUUAUCCGGAAUUAUUGGGCGUAAAGAGCUCGUAGGCGGUUUGUCGCGUCUGCUGUGAAAGACCGGGGCUCAACUCCGGUUCUGCAGUGGGUACGGGCAGACUAGAGUGCAGUAGGGGAGACUGGAAUUCCUGGUGUAGCGGUGAAAUGCGCAGAUAUCAGGAGGAACACCGAUGGCGAAGGCAGGUCUCUGGGCUGUAACUGACGCUGAGGAGCGAAAGCAUGGGGAGCGAACAGGAUUAGAUACCCUGGUAGUCCAUGCCGUAAACGUUGGGCACUAGGUGUGGGGGACAUUCCACGUUUUCCGCGCCGUAGCUAACGCAUUAAGUGCCCCGCCUGGGGAGUACGGCCGCAAG
rnacentral:rRNA from 1 species